rnacentral:lncRNA from 1 species
UUGUAAAGUCCGGAUGGUUGAACCAUACCAGCUGGAUUUUUGUCCAAAAUGGGGAUGAGACAUUUCAAGAACGAGGAGAAUAUGGCAGUGAUCAGAAUGAGUACCAAAGAUUCCAUUUGAGGAUUUGCAAGAGCAAGAUCAAAUCUUUCUUGAAUGAGAUUAGUACCAUCUCUUAGGUUCGACAAGUAGAACAAGGACCUGUAAAUCCCAAAUCAAUAAGGUUACAAGAGUUGAGAAAAUUAUGAAAUAAAGAUAACCUAUUAGAGUUAACUUGGAGCCCACCUCUUUUAUCAUGAACAGAAAUAGCUUCACUAAAAUCACCCACAAGAAGUUAGGGAAGAUUAUAAGAAUUAGCAACAUAAAUAAGAUUAUCCCAUAAAAUAGUACGUUCAUGUAAAUAGCAAAGAAAAACCAGCAAGUAUUUGAAGAGAGUACCUUCACAGUUGCAUGGAUCUCUUGUUCAGUGUUAAAGAUAAUGUCGACGGUAAUGCGGUUUGAGUUCCACAUAAUCCACAUACCUCCCUUAUUGUCAAUAACAGUAGUAUCUUCCCAAGCAUUAAAAGGCAUUUUAUUG